rnacentral:rRNA from 1 species
GAUGAACGCUGGCGGCGUGCCUAAUACAUGCAAGUCGAGCGAACAGACGAGGAGCUUGCUCCUCUGACGUUAGCGGCGGACGGGUGAGUAACACGUGGAUAACCUACCUAUAAGACUGGGAUAACUUCGGGAAACCGGAGCUAAUACCGGAUAAUAUAUUCAACCGCAUGGUUCAAUAGUGAAAGACGGUUUUGCUGUCACUUAUAGAUGGAUCCGCGCCGCAUUAGCUAGUUGGUAAGGUAACGGCUUACCAAGGCAACGAUGCGUAGCUGACCUGAGAGGGUGGUCGGCCACACUGGAACUGAGACACGGUCCAGACUCCUACGGGAGGCAGCAGUAGGGAAUCUUCCGCAAUGGGCGAAAGCUUGACGGAGCAACGCCGCGUGAGUGAUGAAGGUCUUCGGAUCGUAAAACUCUGUUAUUAGGGAAGAACAAAUGUGUAAGUAACUAUGCACGUCUUGACGGUACCUAAUCAGAAAGCCACGGCUAACUACGUG